AUCGAACCUGUGCCACAGCAGCAACCCAAGGUCUUCCAGGGACAACACUGGAUUCUUAACCUGAUGCACCACAAGAGAAUUCCCAAACUAUUACAUUUAGAAAGGAUAAACAACAAGGUCCUAAAACAUAGUUCAGAGAACUACAUCUAAUCUCCUGGGAUAGACAAUGAUGGAAAAGAGUAUGUAACUGAGUCACUUUGCUGUACAGAAGAAAUUGGCACAACAUUGUAAAUCAACUAUAGUUUAAUUUUUUUUCUUUUUAGGGGCGCACCUGCAGCAUGUGGAGUUUCCCAGGGUAGGGGUCUAACCCCUAGCCUGGGAACCUCCACAUGCUGCAGGGGUGGCCCUAAAAAAGCAAAAAUAAACAAAUAAGUAAAAGAACUUGAGUUUGAGCCCAAACAUUGCCACCAAGUAGCAAGCAGCCUUGAGCAAAUCUCAGCUUUUCUAUCUAUAGGUGAGGGCUGAACCCUAACAGCGAAGGCACUUCCAGCAUCACAUGCAAAUCAAUACUAUACAAACACUUUCAGCUGAAGUAUAAUGAGACAGUUUGCCUUUAGAGCUAUACAAUCUCUCAUUAAAAUAUCUCUUUGAUCAAACAGAGACAAAGCACUGAUGAUCUAAAGCUUCCCUGUGGACCUCUCUGUCAUAUGUAUGAAGGAAAACUGUAGAAUCAGAAGGAGGAGGAAAAAAAAAAGCAGAGAUUUGAAGCAAAAGUGCCUCUCUACAGCCAUACCACCCUGAACGUGCCAUCUGAUCUUGUCUGAAGCAAAAGUGAUUAUAAAAUCUAUUCUAGGAGUUCCCGUCGUGGCGCAGUGGUUAACGAAUCCGACUAGGAACCAUGAGGUUGCGGGUUCGGUCCCUGCCCUUGCUCAGUGGGUUAACGAUCCGGCGUUGCCGUGAGCUGUGGUGUAGGUUGCAGACGCGGCUCGGAUCCCGCGUUGCUGUGGCUCUGGCGUAGGCUGGUGGCUGCAGCUCCGAUUCAACCCCUGGCCUGGGAACCUCCAUAUGCCGCGGGAGCGGCCCAAGAAAUAGCAACAACAACAACAACAAAGACAAAAAAAGACAAAAAAAAAAAAAAAUAAAAAAAAAUAAAAU
rnacentral:lncRNA from 1 species